ACCGUGCAAAGGUAGCAUAAUCAUUUGCCUAUUAAUUGUAGGCUAGUAUGAAUGGACAAACGCGGAUCUAUCUGUCUCCUUUAAGUCAAUAAAAAUUUAUCUCUAAGUGAAGAAGCUUAGAUAAAAUCGUAGGACAAGAAGACCCUAUAGAGCUUUACCUUAAAGCUUAAAAAAAAAGAAAGACGGUUCGGUUGGGGCGACCAAGGAAUAUAAAACAUCCUAUACAUACUUAGAUUCACAUAUCUUCAAAAAGAUCCUUAAACAAGAUCACAGAAUCCAGCUACCUUAGGGAUAACAGGCUAAUUCCUCUAGAGAGUUCAUAUUGACAGAGGAGG
rnacentral:rRNA from 1 species